rnacentral:lncRNA from 1 species
UCCUUUAGAUGAGACCAUAGUUAGUAAAUAGGCGAUUAACCCCCGAUUUUUUGAAAAAUUCGACGUUUUUUUGAAAAAUGUUUAAAACGACGUUUUUUUAAAAGUUCGUCAAAAAAUCGUGGUUUUUCAUUAAAACGUUAAAAACGCGUUUUUUUGGAGAACAAAUUAAACGGGCCCAAAAAAAGCAUUUUUACUUGUAUUUUUUAAAAAAAAAGAAAAAAAUUUUCUGAUAUGUGUAAUUUCUAAAAAAGCGUACAAUUUCCAUAAAAAAAAAAAUCCUAACAGAGAAAACCCAUGUUCUUGCAAAUUUCAUAAUCUUUAUGUUCCUGAAAAAACAUAUUAUUUCCAUCAACAAACAUAACCUUCAUGUUCCUGCAAAUUUCAUAAUCUUCAUGCUCCUGAAAACCCCCUUCCCCAAGAACCCCAUUUGAUUUUCUCUCUAACAGAGAAAACCCCCAUCUUCAAUUUUGAACUUUUUCCAAACUCACAAAGCAAACCCCCCAUCCCCAAUUUUGAAGAAGCAUACCCUGUUUUCAAUGAAACGCAGGUCUUCGAAAGACCUUGCUGUUCUAUCGAGCUUCCUUAUCAGUGAGAUCAAGGGAGAAGAGAGCUCUAUCGAGCUUCUUCAUGUUCUCAAGUCUUCUAAAGCCUUGCUCCAUCUUUUUCCCAAAAAUCUUCGAGUUUCAC